ensembl:lncRNA
GUUUCUUUUAUGUCUUUUUAAAAUUUAUUUUUAUUUAUUUAUUUCUGAUUGCUGUGGCUAGGACUUCCAAUACAUUAAGAUUGUCAGUCAAUUCCUGCUAAAAAAAGAGAUACAGAGGCUUCCCUGGUGCUUCAAUGAGGAAGAAUCCACCUGCCAAUGCAGGAGACACAGGUUUGAUCCCUGGUCCAAGGAAGAACCCACAUGCCUUGGGGCAACUAGGCCCCUGCACCACAACUGCUGAGCCUGCACUCAGAGCCCAGGAGGCACCGCUGCUGAGCCCACACUCAGAGCCUGGGAGCCACCACUGCUGAGCCCGCACUCAGAGCCCAGGAGCCACCACUGCUGAGCCUGUGCGCGUGGUCUGUAGUCCACAACAAGAGAAGCCACUGCAGUGAGAAGCCCAUGCACCUCAGCGAAGAGUGGCCCCUGCUUGCUGCAACUGGACAGAGCCUGUGGGCAACAACAAAGACUCAGCACAGCCCAUACAUACAUUCAUUUUUAAAAAAGAGGACAGAAAACCAGUGGGUAAUUCUCCUUCCUGAAUAAUGAAUCUGAAUUAUUCUCCUGAAAAAAAUUUAAUUGAGUUAUUGCCUAAUUUGUAGUAUUUGAAGAUAAAUAAUCCAUGGUAUACAUACAAUUAGGAUUCCUUAAAAAUAAAUCCAGAUUGUGGCCCAGACUCAAAUAUAAACUUAUUAUACGUUUAUAAGCAAUUGAGUUUAUAAGUUAUAAGCAAUCAAGUUGAUCUAUUAGAGUCCAAAAUACUAAAACAACAUUUUGUGCUCCACGUAUAUAAAAAUCUCAGUUUAAGACUGCUCUGCUAUUGCCAAGGGCACAGCCCUACAGACGCAGAUCUUUCAAGAUCUGACGUUCCAGGCAUUCAAAUACUUCCUAUUACACAGAAAAAGGAGUCCCCAUUAAUGGAUCAGUCCAUGUUUGAGUUUUUAGGUAACAUCAAUAUAAAUAGCCUACAUAAAAAUUGAGAAGCCCAGCACAAAUCUUUAUUUCUUCUUCAAAGAAAGAAAUUCAAGGUUUUACUCUCUGUAACUUAUUCUAGUCAUAAGUAUUAUAUUCAAGAAGUUAUAGUCUUGUAUAAUAAACCAAUUCUACUUGUUUAACUACUAAAAAGAAAUGUAUCACUUUAGCAUAACAAAUAUAAAAAAUUCUGAAUCAGGACUCAGUAGAUAGGUUUUGCUUUAGGCUCUGCCAUACCUGUAUGACCUUAGGCAAAUCAUUUAACCUCUGCAGGUUGAGCUCUGACCUGCAGACUUCUGUGGUUUAACAGGAUGAGACUGCAAUUAGGUAAAAGGCCCCUAGAUGGUGGUGGUGUUCUGAAUUAGGCUUUCUAUUUCCCCUCUACCCCAUAAUUACAGUGAAAUAUAAAGGAGUAGGUUAGAAAAUUAUUCCCUAUUAAGUUCUGAAAAAAUUCACUGCUAAGGAUUCAAUUAAUAACAUUCAAAAUAGCACUGAAUUAUGAAUCAUAUUGUCCAGUUACAUUUGAUAUUAAUUAAAAGGAAUAUACCACUAAUGAUUAUAUUAAUACCAAAUAUCUCUUUGUAAUUAGCCUAUAUCAUCAGUAUUUCUCUGGGCAUAUUUAUCUAAGCUUAAGAAGCUGAACAAAAACUAAACAAUUAUUGUUAAG